GACGAACGCUGGCGGCGUGCUUAACACAUGCAAGUCGAACGGAAAGGCCCUGCUUUUGUGGGGUGCUCGAGUGGCGAACGGGUGAGUAACACGUGAGUAACCUGCCCUUGACUUUGGGAUAACUUCAGGAAACUGGGGCUAAUACCGGAUAGGAGCUCCUGCUGCAUGGUGGGGGUUGGAAAGUUUCGGCGGUUGGGGAUGGACUCGCGGCUUAUCAGCUUGUUGGUGGGGUAGUGGCUUACCAAGGCUUUGACGGGUAGCCGGCCUGAGAGGGUGACCGGCCACAUUGGGACUGAGAGACGGCCCAGACUCCUACGGGAGGCAGCAGUGGGGAAUAUUGCACAAUGGGCGGAAGCCUGAUGCAGCAACGCCGCGUGCGGGAUGACGGCCUUCGGGUAAACCGCUUUCGCCUGUGACGAAGCGUGAGUGACGGUAAUGGGUAAAGAAGCACCGGCUAACUACGUG
rnacentral:rRNA from 1 species